UGCAGUCGUACGGAAAGUAAUUUUUAGUGGCGAACGGGUGAGUAACGCGCGAGAAUUUACCUUUAGGAAGAGGGCAACUUCUAGAAAUAGAAGCUAAUACUCUAUAUGCCACCUGGUGAAAGAAGAAAUUCGCCUAAAGAGAAGCUCGCGUCUGAUUAGCUAGUUGGUAAGGUAAAGGCUUACCAAGGCGACGAUCAGUAGCUGGUUUGAGAGGACGAUCAGCCACACUGGAACUGAGACACGGUCCAGACUCCUACGGGAGGCAGCAGUGAGGAAUUUUCUGCAAUGGGCGAAAGCCUGACAGAGCAAUACCGCGUGAGGGAUGAAAGCCUAUGGGUUGUAAACCUCUUUUCUCAAGGAGGAAAAUAUGACGUUACUUGAGGAAUAAGCAUCGGCUAACCCUGUGCCAGCAGCCGCGGUAAUACAGGGGAUGCAAGUGUUAUCCGGAAUUAUUGGGCGUAAAGCGUCUGUAGGUUGACUUUUAAGUCUUUUGUUAAAGCUCUAGGCUUAACCUGGAAACAGCAAAAGAAACUAUUAGUCUUGAGUAUGGUAGGGGUAAAGGGAAUUUCCAGUGGAGCGGUGAAAUGCUUAGAUAUUGGAAAGAACACCAACAGCGAAGGCACUUUACUGGGCCAGUACUGACACUGAGAGACGAAAGCUAGGGGAGCAAACGGGAUUAGAUACCCUGGUAGUCC
rnacentral:rRNA from 1 species